GAGUGUGCCUUCGGGAACUCUGAGACUGGUGCUGCAUGGCUGUCGUCAGCUCGUGAUGUGAAAUGUUAGGUUAAGUCCCGCAACGAGCGCAACCCUUAUCCUUGUUUGCCAGCACUUCGGGUGGGAAUUCCAGGGAGACUGCCGGUGAUAAACCGGAGGAAGGUGGGGACGACGUCAAGUCAUCAUGGCCCUUCCGAGUAGGGCUACACACGUGCUACAAUGGCAUAUACAGAGGGCAGCAAGACCGCGAGGUGGAGCGAAUCCCAGAAAGUAUGUCGUAGUCCGGAUCGGAGUCUGCAACUCGACUCCGUGAAGUCGGAAUCGCUAGUAAUCGUGGAUCAGAAUGCCUCGGUGAAUACGUUCCCGGGCCUUGUUCACACCGCCCGUCACACCAUGGGAGUGGGCUGCACCAGAAGUAGAUAGCUUAACCUUCGGGAGGGCGUCUACCACGGUGUGGUUCAUGACUGGGGUGAAGUCGUAACAAUGUAACCG
rnacentral:rRNA from 1 species